UGGCAUCCUCUGAUAGACCUUUGGCAUUUCUUUGUGGCCUCUAGGUUUGCACUUGGAUGCGACAGCAAUUCUCCUCGUGCUUUCUAGCUGUCUUGUAUGUGAGUGUCAGUAUCAGAUUGAAGAGGGGAGAACAGGC
ensembl:snoRNA